CACCAGAGGAACCGCCGCCGUCCGCCGAGUUUCAGGAAUUUGUUAGUCCACCCCUUGAAUAACCCCAUGUUGUAAUCAAGUGGGAACACCGUCGAUGGGAGUUAAUUCCACAGUUGCACGUGCGUCGAAAAAAGGAUCUGGCACAACGGGCGGACGAAGUGCACCAGACACCCAGCUGGUGAGAGUGAAAUUGCUUAGGGUGGUG